UCGAUAAUUUAAUGUUCGAGAAGAUCUGAUAGGACUAGCUAUUGGUGCUUAUGGUACAAAUAUUCAAUAAGCGCGGAAAGUUGAUGAUAUUACAAAUAUAGAGUUAGAAGAAAAUUCAUGUACAUUUAAGAUAUAUGGAGAGAAUAAAGUUGUUAAGAAAGCUGAUCUAUGUUGAAAUACAGCGAGGAGUUUAUACAAGUCCCACGACUGUUAAUAGGAAAAGUAAUUGGGAACAAUGGUUGCAUUAUCCAAGAGAUUGUUGAUAAAAGUUUCGUAACGGCAGCCAGACACAGCCGGACGCCUGCUGACUUACAGCGACUGUACCACCAUCUAGAGAGAGGUUAAAACUACCAAGAGACGACGCGACAGAUCCCGAUUUCAGCGUUUCAAUGAUAGAUAAUGCAAAACAAUUUUUUACUGGGUCAUUUUGACCCAGGGUGUAU